GGAGAGAUGUCCGAGUGGUCGAAGGAGCACGCCUGGAAAGCGUGUGUACCCUUAACGGGGUACCGAGGGUUCGAAUCCCUCUCUCUCCGCCA
rnacentral:tRNA from 1 species